rnacentral:lncRNA from 1 species
AUGGCCCUGGGACUCCAAUUCUCUCUAGAGAAAUCAGAGGGGAAGAAGACUCCAUGUAAAAGUCAUCUUUCCUUCCUAUUACGUGCAUCCAACAAAGUUGGACUGCGGUUAGGCCGAAUCCUGGAUGGAUUGAUCAAGUGACCAAGCCUGGAUUGGGCUUUCAUAGAGGCAACCAAACCAUGAGCAUUAGGGCUAUCUACUUGCCUACUCUAUUUGGUUUGCCGGGAAUGUUAAUAUUUUCUAGGGAGCAUAUAGGCAGCA